rnacentral:rRNA from 1 species
GAAUAUUGGACAAUGGGCGCAAGCCUGAUCCAGCCAUGCCGCGUUAGUGAUGAAGGCCCUAGGGUUGUAAAGCCCUUUCACUGGUGAAGAUAAUUACGGUAACCGGAUAAGAAGCCCCGGCUAACUUCGUGCCAGCAGCCGCGGUAAUACGAAGGGGGCUAGCGUUGUUCGGAAUUACUGGGCGUAAAGCGCACGUAGGCGGAUCGUUAAGUGAGGGGUGAAAUCCCAGGGCUCAACCCUGGAACUGCCUUUCAUACUGGCGAUCUUGAGUUCGAGAGAGGUGAGUGGAAUUCCGAGUGUAGAGGUGAAAUUCGUAGAUAUUCGGAGGAACACCAGUGGCGAAGGCGGCUCACUGGCUCGAUACUGACGCUGAGGUGCGAAAGCGUGGGGAGCAAACAGGA